ACGCACGCUGGCGGCGUGCUUAACCCAUGCAAGUCGAACGGAAAGGCCCUGCUUUUGUGGGGUGCUCGAGUGGCGAACGGGUGAGUAACACGUGAGUAACCUGCCCUUGACUUUGGGAUAACUUCAGGAAACUGGGGCUAAUACCGGAUAGGAGCUCCUGCUGCAUGGUGGGGGUUGGAAAGUUUCGGCGGUUGGGGAUGGACUCGCGGCUUAUCAGCUUGUUGGUGGGGUAGUGGCUUACCAAGGCUUUGACGGGUAGCCGGCCUGAGAGGGUGACCGGCCACAUUGGGACUGAGAUACGGCCCGGACUCCUACGGGAGGCAGCAGUGGGGAAUAUUGCACAAUGGGCGGAAGCCUGAUGCAGCAACGCCGCGUGCGGGAUGACGGCCUUCGGGUUGUAAACCGCUUUCGCCUGUGACGAAGCGUGAGUGACGGUAAUGGGUAAAGAAGCACCGGCUAACUACGUG
rnacentral:rRNA from 1 species